rnacentral:ncRNA from 1 species
CAGGUUCCGGUUCACGCCCGCAAGCCAGGUUCGAACUCCAGGGCGACCCGGCGACC